ACACAAUGUGUUGUUUUGUCGACUGUGUUCUUCUAGGAAUUCAUAUCUCCUACAUGUUAAUUAGUUCUAUUAUUUCAACACACUUAAAAAGCCUUAUUUAGUGUAUUUAGCUAUACUAUAUAAUUAAAUGUAGUCUUAAAAAGAUUCCUAUAGGUUUCCUGGAGCAAAUUACGAACAAAAGACCUCUUAUGGUAGCAACAACGAUGUCACUACCCAAUUAUUGUCCUGAAAGCUCAUGUGGCCAGUGUAAAUUCGAGGCUCAUAAAUACAUAUAUCUUAAAGAAUUACGAAAAUCAGCUUUGUUUCUCUUCUUCCGUUAAAAAUAGUCCUGAUAUUUAAUCAUUUUUC
rnacentral:lncRNA from 1 species